UAUAUACGUUGAGGUUUUGAUAAAUUUAAAUACUAGGGAUACAAAUGAUCUACCAAUAAAAUGUGCUCUGUAGAGUUUAUUUUAAUGUGCAAACUUUCUUCCAGAUAAUGUGUAGUAAUAGGUAAUGCGUAGGUUCAAUUUAAUAUCUUGUGUAGCCUAGUAGUGUACAUCCAGCAAUUAAUCCCCUUUCCUUCUCUAAUCUCUCCUUCCUCGAACAGAUAAGGCAGCAGCAGCAGUAAUUCCUCUUCUUCUUCUUCCUUGCUGCUGUUCCUAAGGCACUUCUCCCUUUCCCAGCUAAAUCAUCCAAGCCAUGGCUACCGAUCUACCAUUGCUAGUGUGGAUCAGCUCUGCUGCGGCUACUGCUGUGGCGGUGGUGGUUGCUGCAGCUACGGCUGCGGCUGUGUAGGGGGAACAGAUGCUUGGUUGCUAGGUGCUAAAAAAAAAGGAAAGCCAAGUAUUGAGGGAUUCACCUUUGCCUAGGUGACAAGUUCGUCCAUGGCUGUGCUCCCGUGUUCAUCCUCGCCGAUGCAUUGGCCUUUCCUCUUCCUUGGGUAAAUCACAUUCCCUCCUUGCUGAUUUCUCUUCUCCUCUUCCUAGCCGACAUAGUGAUGGUAUGAGUAUUUGGCCAAGAACUAUUUGGCUACUAAUUAUAGGGGAUUCAAGAUUUGGUGCUUGCAAUGGAUGGGGCGCAAUCUUGCAUUUCACUGAUUUGUUUGCUCCUCACUCCCUACUUCUCUCCUCCUCCUCUCCUGGGCUGCUCACUCCUCACUAAUUGGUUGGAGCUCAUAUGCAUGCAUCUGCUGCCAUGGCUGUGGUCAUGCUUUGAGUGCUUGACCAAGGUGAGAUAGAGUCUUGACCAAAGUGGAUGGAGUUGUGCUACUAUCUUUGUGGUCUUGUGUGAAGCUUCCUAUGUGGAGCUAUGUGAUUGGUGGAUAAUUAAUACUGCUGGUGAAUUGAGGUCCCUUUGGUGAGAUUAAUUCUUUAUAUGAGAUGUGCGGCUUCUUUGUGUUAAUUAGCCGGAUGACGAACCCGACUUAAGUGAGGGGUGCCAGACGGUAUUAGCUGAUCUAGGUGAUCUAGGUAUCUCAGUGAACGGUUGAAUAUACACCACUUUGUGUAUGGGUCUGACGGCAACAUUUAUUUACAUAUUACCUUUUGUGCAUAAAAGGGGUCAAGCUAUGUAUGUCCUGUGCAACCGUAUAUUCAAAUAUAUGAUGUAUUGUAUUAUUAGUGUAAGUUUAUGUAUACAUGAUGACUGUUUAUAGUGA